CCUGCCCCGGCCUCUCCCCAGCAUCCCAGGGUUCCUGAUCUCCUGGAUAAGGAUACAAGUCACCACACUGGACUGGGGCUCAGCCUGCUCUAGAAUACCUCACCUAAGUCACAGUGGACCAGGCUCAGCCUGCUCUAAGGUGAGCUUACCCGAGACACUGGACCAGAGAUCAGCCUAUCCUGGGAUAAGCUCACCCGAGUCACACUGGACCAGGGCUCAGCCUAUUCCGGGAUGAGCUCACCCGAGUCACACUGGACCAGGGCUCAGCCUAUUCUAGGAUGAGCUCACCCGAGUCACACUGGACCAGGGCUCAGCCUAUUCCGGGAUGAGCUCACCCGAGUCACACUGGACCAGGGCUCAGCCUAUUCCGGGAUGAGCUCACCCGAGUCACACUGGACCAGGGCUCAGCCUAUUCCGGGAUGAGCUCACCCGAGUCACACUGGGCCAGGGCUCAGCCUAUUCUAGGAUGAGCUCACCCAAAUCACACUGGACCAAGGCUCAGCCUGCUCUAGAAUACCUCACCUAAGUCACACUGGACCAGGGCUCAGCCUGCUCUAAGGUGAGCUCACCCGAGACACUGGGCCAGAGAUCAGCCUACUCUGGGAUGAGCUCAUCCGAGUCACACUGGGCCAGGGCUCAGCCUAUUCCAGGAUGAGCUCACCCGAGUCACACUGGACCAGGGCUCAGCCUAUUCUAGGAUGAGCUCACCAGAGUCACAGUGGACCAAGGCUCAGCCUGCUCUAGGAUGACCUCACUGGAGUCACACUGGACCAGGACUCAGCCUAUUCCAAGAUAACCUCACCCAAGUCACACUGGACCAAGCUCACCCUGCUCCAGGAUGAUCUCACCUGAGCUCACUGCAUCUGCAAGGACCCCAUUUCCAAACAAGGGCUCAGCCCCACAGGAGGCCUGGGAGCAGUCACACUGGAGGCUCUCCGCCACUCUAGGAACCAGGACCACAGUUCUAGAGACAAAGUCAUCCCCUGGAGGGCCCCCGGAGGCAGCUUCAGGCUAACGGCCCGCCCACUGCCCAGGGACACUUCCCAGGGACUGAGGGGACACUUCUCUGG
rnacentral:lncRNA from 1 species